UAGGACUAAUCGGCGGGAGUGUGUCAGUGUUGCGACAGCAAGCGGUGAUACGAUACCGUGAUUUCUCUACAAUCUGCAAAUACGAAGAUACCUGAAUCGGUGGACUGAAGGAUCCGAACAAAGUAAGAAAAACGGUGAUACGCGGUUCAUUAGUAGUAAUUUAAAUAUUUAUAUCGGGAGUGCCGUAUAAGAUAUCAGUAUAUCACGCGAUCGUAAUUAGCCAUAUUUUCGCGAGUGUAACGAAAAAACCUGAGAGGAGGAGGAGGUCUGGGAGACAUCAGGCAACGGCGGAGCAACUGUAAGAUCAACGUAGUUCACAACUCCGCUGUUGCGCAUCGGUGUC